ACCACACAGCCUCAAUGAAACAUGCUUCAACACAAAUACCGAGGGUUGCUGCAAAUUCCAUAAUUGUAGCACAAAGUUUUACAACAGUUACUGUUUAGACAAGCAGUAAUGUGAGGACCACACUCAAGCGCCCCCUCAUGUGGCCAAGCCUGGCCCUCCACCACAGUGCCGCUGCCUUGAGUGUGUCUCCCCAACACGCAAAGGUCAUUGCUAAACUAGAAGGUGUUCAACUCUCUUGCCCCCUACACCAACUAUUUCCAAACGCCAAAAAUGAGGUUAAUCGAGUUCUAAUGAGUGUUCUUUUAGGUUCACGGUACAGAAGAAGGCUCAGACUACCACCAGGGUCAUAAAAGUAGUACCCCUGGAAAUGCCCUAAACUCCCACGAAAGACUAGUAAAUUACGUGUUCUAAUGAGCGUUCUUUUAGGUUCACGGUACAGAAGAAGGCUCAGACUACCACCAGGGUCAUAAAAGUAGUACCCCUGGAAAUGCCCUAAACUCCCACGAAAGACUAGUAAAUUACGUGUUCUAAUGAGUGUUCUUUUAGGUUCACGGUACAGAAGAAGGCUCAGACUACCACCAGGGUCAUAAAAGUAGUACCCCUGGAAAUGCCCUAAACUCCCACGAAAGACUAGUAAAUUACGUGUUCUAAUGAGCGUUCUUUUAGGUUCACGGUACAGAAGAAGGCUCAGACUACCACCAGGGUCAUAAAAGUAGUACCCCUGGAAAUGCCCUAAACUCCCACGAAAGACUUGUAAAUUACGUGUUCUAAUGAGUGUUCUUUUAGGUUCACGGUACAGAAGAAGGCUCAGACUACCACCAGGGUCAUAAAAGUAGUACCCCUGGAAAUGCCCUAAACUCCCACGAAAGACUUGUAAAUUACGUGUUCUAAUGAGUGUUCUUUUAGGUUCACGGUACAGAAGAAGGCUCAGACUACCACCAGGGUCAUAAAAGUACCCCUGGAAAUGCCCUAAACUCCCACGAAAGACUAGUAAAUUACGUGUUCUAAUGAGUGUUCUUUUAGGUUCACGGUACAGAAGAAGGCUCAGACUACCACCAGGGUCAUAAAAGUAGUACCCCUGGAAAUGCCCUAAACUCCCACGAAAGACUAGUAAAUUACGUGUUCUAAUGAGUGUUCUUUUAGGUUCACGGUACAGAAGAAGGCUCAGACUACCACCAGGGUCAUAAAAGUACCCCUGGAAAUGCCCUAAACUCCCACGAAAGACUUGUAAAUUACGUGUUCUAAUGAGCGUUCUUUUAGGUUCACGGUACAGAAGAAGGCUCAGACUACCACCAGGGUCAUAAAAGUACCCCUGGAAAUGCCCUAAACUCCCACGAAAGACUUGUAAAUUACGUGUUCUAAUGAGCGUUCUUUUAGGUUCACGGUACAGAAGAAGGCUCAGACUACCACCAGGGUCAUAAAAGUAGUACCCCUGGAAAUGCCCUAAACUCCCACGAAAGACUUGUAAAUUACGUGUUCUAAUGAGCGUUCUUUUAGGUUCACGGUACAGAAGAAGGCUCAGACUACCACCAGGGUCAUAAAAGUAGUACCCCUGGAAAUGCCCUAAACUCCCACGAAAGACUUGUAAAUUACGUGUUCUAAUGAGUGUUCUUUUAGGUUCACGGUACAGAAGAAGGCUCAGACUACCACCAGGGUCAUAAAAGGAGUACCCCUGGAAAUGCCCUAAACUCCCACGAAAGACUAGUAAAUUACGUGUUCUAAUGAGUGUUCUUUUAGGUUCACGGUACAGAAGAAGGCUCAGACUACCACCAGGGUCAUAAAAGUAGUACCCCUGGAAAUGCCCUAAACUCCCACGAAAGACUAGUAAACUACGUGUUCUAAUGAGUGUUCUUUUAGGUUCACGGUACAGAAGAAGGCUCAGACUACCACCAGGGUCAUAAAAGUAGUACCCCUGGAAAUGCCCUAAACUCCCACGAAAGACUUGUAAAUUACGUGUUCUAAUGAGUGUUCUUUUAGGUUCACGUACAGAAGAAGGUUCAGACUACCACCAGGGUCAUA